rnacentral:rRNA from 1 species
UACGUAGGUGCGAGCGUUGUCCGGAAUGUACUGGGUCGUAAAGCGCGUGUGGCGGGAGGCCAAGUCUGUGGUGAAAUCGCUCGGCUUAACUGGGCGGGGUCCAUGGAAACUGGUCACCUGGAGGACGGUAGAGGCGAGUGGAAUUCCCGGUGUAGUGGUGAAAUGCGUAGAGAUCGGGAGGAACACCAGUGGCGAAGGCGGCUCGCUGGGCCGGUCCUGACACUGAGACGCGAAGGCGUGGGGAGCGAACGGG